GAUGACGAGUGGCGCACGGGUGCGUAACGCGUAUGCAAUCUACCUUCAACUGGUGAAUAGCCCGAAGAAAUUCGGAUUAAUACACCAUAGUAUAAUUGAGUGGCAUCACUUAAUUAUUAAAACUCCGGUGGUUGAAGAUGAGCAUGCGUGACAUUAGCUAGUUGGUGAGGUAAUGGCUCACCAAGGCUACGAUGUCUAGGGGAUCUGAGAGGAUUAACCCCCACACUGGUACUGAGACACGGACCAGACUCCUACGGGAGGCAGCAGUAAGGAAUAUUGGACAAUGGUCGAAAGACUGAUCCAGCCAUGCCGCGUGCAGGAUGACAGCCCUAUGGGUCGUAAACUGCUUUUGUGCGAGAAAAAACCCCUCUACGUGUAGAGGGCUGAUUGUAUCGUAAGAAUAAGGAUCGGCUAACUCCGUGCCAGCAGCCGCGGUAAUACGGAGGAUCCAAGCGUUAUCCGGAUUCAUUGGGUUUAAAGGGUGCGUAGGCGGAAUGAUAAGUCAGUGGUGAAAGCCUGUUGCUUAACAACAGAACUGCCAUUGAUACUGUCAAUCUUGAGUACAUUUGAUGUGGGCGGAAUGUGUCAUGUAGCGGUGAAAUGCUUAGAUAUGACACAGAACACCGAUUGCGAAGGCAGCUCACAAAACUGUAACUGACGGUGAGGCACGAAAGCGUGGGUAUCAAACAGGAUUAGAUACCCUGGUAGUCCACGCUGUAAACUAUGAUUACUCGAUGUUUGCGAUACACUGUAAGCGUCUAAGCGAAAGCGAUAAGUAAUCCACC
rnacentral:rRNA from 1 species